UUUACUCCUCGGAUUUUGAGUCGAAACCUUCGUCAAAGGAACAAGUGAUAUGAUGGUCGUUGGCGGCUAUUGAUUGGUAACAUUCCGGUUCACGUGCAUUGGUGCUAUCAAAACACUCGUCGGUUUCUAAAGAUAAUGCAGAACAUAGAGAGAGAAUGAAAGAGGAGUGAGAAUUCUGAUCCCAUGGAUGAGGAUGAUUAUGAUAUGGCGGAGAUUAGGGCGACUCAUUUUGAGGAAUCAAUGAAGUAUGCCCAGCGAAUUGUAAGUGACGUUGACACCAGGAAGAACCAGUCAUUUGAUCAGAUGUUGCAGUAGUCGAGCAGAUUUCGAUACAAAGUGAAAGAAACAAGUGUUGGUAGUGACGUCAAUGGACUUGCGGGACAAGAAAAAGGAUGCAUAUUAAUAUUACUAUGUCUGCAAAUAUGAACACUUCCAUCGCCAUGUCUCUACUCUCUGUAAAUCAAUUUACUUUCUUUUUAAACUAUAACAGAUUCAA
rnacentral:lncRNA from 1 species